rnacentral:rRNA from 1 species
UGGGGAAUCUUCCGCAAUGGACGAAAGUCUGACGGAGCAACGCCGCGUGAGUGAUGACGGCCUUCGGGUUGUAAAGCUCUGUUAAUCGGGACGAAAGGCCUUCUUGCGAAUAGUGAGAAGGAUUGACGGUACCGGAAUAGAAAGCCACGGCUAACUACGUGCCAGCAGCCGCGGUAAUACGUAGGUGGCAAGCGUUGUCCGGAAUUAUUGGGCGUAAAGCGCGCGCAGGCGGAUAGGUCAGUCUGUCUUAAAAGUUCGGGGCUUAACCCCGUGAUGGGAUGGAAACUGCCAAUCUAGAGUAUCGGAGAGGAAAGUGGAAUUCCUAGUGUAGCGGUGAAAUGCGUAGAUAUUAGGAAGAACACCAGUGGCGAAGGCGACUUUCUGGACGAAAACUGACGCU